AUAUAAACAGUGAUAGAGAAUAGUAAAAGAGUCCCUUGUCCCCAGAAAAUAGGCGGUUGAUGCAAGCCUUGGCAAGCCUUUUUGAACCUUCCUCUUGAGUUCCGCAGGGAAAAUGCGGCGUACUUGGCGUUAACAAGUUUGAGUGGACGGAUUUUUUCGUCAACGAGGGUGGCACCGCCGAUUCGACCUUGGUCCCUUUU
rnacentral:ncRNA from 1 species